rnacentral:rRNA from 1 species
AACGAACGCUGGCGGCAUGCCUAACACAUGCAAGUCGAACGAGACCUCCGUGUGUGGUGGCGCACUGGUGCGUAACGCGUGGGAACCUGCCCUUAGUUUCGGAAUAACUCCCCUAAAGGGGUGCUAAUACCGGAUAAUGUCUUCGGACCAAAGAUUUAUCGCCGUUGGAUGGGCCCGCGUUGGAUUAGCUAGUUGGUAGGGUAAAAGCCUACCAAGGCGACGAACCAUAGCUGGUAUGAGAGGAUGAUCAGCCACACUGGGAAUGAGACACGGCCCAGACUGCGACGGAAGGCAGCAGUGGGGAAUAUAGGACACUGGGCGAAAGCCUGAUACAGCAAUGCCGGGUGAGUGAUGAAGGCCUUAGGGUUGUAAAGCUCUUUUACCCGGGAUGAUAAUGACAGUACCUGGAGAAGAAGCACCGGCUAACUCCGU